rnacentral:piRNA from 1 species
UGCCUAAUGAUGAAUGCUGAGUGUGCCGC